rfam:Campylobacter hominis ATCC BAA-381, complete genome.
AGGUAAGCUACUAAGAGCAAAUGGUGGAUGCCUUGGUUGGUAGAGGCGAUGAAGGACGUACUAGACUGCGAUAAGCUAUGAGGAGCUGUCAAGAAGCUUUGAUUCAUAGAUUUCCGAAUGGGGCAACCCGGUAUAUAGUGAUAUAUACCACCUGAUAUGGAGCGAACUUGGGGAACUGAAACAUCUUAGUACCCAAAGGAAAAGAAAUCAAUUGAGAUUAUGCAAGUAGCGGCGAGCGAACGCGUAAGAGGGCAAACCACUAGUUUACUAGUGGGGUUAUAGGACUGCAUAAAAGAAUAAAAACGGAUAAUAGAACAAUUUGGAAAAGUUGAGCAUAGAGGGUGAUACUCCCGUAUAUGAAAUCCCUUUUUUACUUAGCGGUAUCCUGAGUAAGACGAGUCACGUGAAAUCUUGUCUGAAUUCGGGUCGACCACGAUCCAACCCUAAAUACUACUACCAAACCGAUAGCGAACAAGUACCGUGAGGGAAAGGUGAAAAGAACUGAGGUGAUCAGAGUGAAAUAGAAUCUGAAACCAUUUGCUUACAAUCAUUCAGAGCCCUAUGAUUUAUCAGGGUGAUGGACUGCCUUUUGCAUAAUGAGCCUGCGAGUUGUGGUGUCCGGCAAGGUUAAGUAAACACGGAGCCGUAGCGAAAGCGAGUCUUAAUAGGGCGUUUAGUCGGAUGCUGCAGACCCGAAACGAUGUGAUCUAUCCAUGAGCAGAUUGAAACCGGUGUAAGAACCGGCGGAGGAUCGAACAGACGGCCAUUGAAACGGCUCCUGAUGACUUGUGGAUAGGGGUGAAAGGCCAAUCAAACAUCGUGAUAGCUGGUUCUCUUCGAAAUAUAUCGAGGUAUAGCGUUGUGUCGUAAUUAUAAGGGGUAGAGCACUGAAUGGGCUAGGGCAUACACCAAUGUACCAACCCCUAUCAAACUCCGAAUACUUAUAAUGUAAUCACAGCAGUCAGGCGGCGAGUGAUAAAAUCCGUCGUCGAAAGGGGAACAACCCAGACUACCGACUAAGGUCCCUAAAUCUUAUUUAAGUGGAAAACGAUGUGAAGUUACUUAAACAACCAGGAGGUUGGCUUAGAAGCAGCCAUCCUUUAAAGAUAGCGUAAUAGCUCACUGGUCUAGUGAUUUUGCGCGGAAAAUAUAACGGGGCUAAAAUAAGUACCGAAGUCGUAGAUUUACACAAUAGUGUAAGUGGUAGAAGAGCGUUGUAUUUAGCAUUGAAGGCGUACCGGUAAGGAGCGCUGGAGCAUAUACAAGUGAGCAUGCAGGCAUGAGUAGCGAUAAUUAAUGUAAGAAUCAUUAACGCCGAAAACCCAAGGUUUCCUACGCGAUGCUCGUCAUCGUAGGGUUAGUCGGGUCCUAAGCAAAGUCCGAAAGGGGUAUGCGAUGGAAAAUCGGUUAAUAUUCCGAUACCAACAUUAUUGUGCGAUGGAAGGACGCUUAAAGUUAAUGGGGCUAAGUGAUGGAAUACUUAGUCUAAGGAUGUAGGUUAAGUUGUAGGCAAAUCCGCAACUUUUUAUCCGAGAUCUAAAAGGCUUACAAAACUCUUCGGAGUAGCGUAAGAACCCAUGAUACUAUCGAGCCGAGAAAAGUUUCUAAGUUUAGAUAAUGUUGCCCGUACCGUAAACCGACACAGGUGGGUGGGAUGAGUAUUCUAAGGCGCGUGGAAGAACUCUCUUUAAGGAACUCUGCAAAAUAGCACCGUAUCUUCGGUAUAAGGUGUGCCUAACUUUGUGAAAGAUUUACUCUAUAAGCAAAGAAGGUUACAACAAAGAGUCCCUCCCGACUGUUUACCAUAAACACAGCACUCUGCUAACACGUAAGUGGAUGUAUAGGGUGUGACGCCUGCCCGGUGCUCGAAGGUUAAUUGAUGAUGUCAGGAGUAAUCCAAAGCAUUUGAUCGAAGCCCGAGUAAACGGCGGCCGUAACUAUAACGGUCCUAAGGUAGCGAAAUUCCUUGUCGGUUAAAUACCGACCUGCAUGAAUGGCGUAACGAGAUGGGAGCUGUCUCAAAGAGGGAUCCAGUGAAAUUGUAGUGGAGGUGAAAAUUCCUCCUACCCGCGGCAAGACGGAAAGACCCCGUGGACCUUUACUACAGCUUGACACUGCUACUUGGAUAAAGAUGCGCAGGAUAGGUGGUAGGCUUUGAUCUAUAGACUCCGGUUUAUAGUGAGCCAUUGGUGAGAUACCACUCUUCUUUAUUCGAUUAGCUAACUAGCAUAAGUUAUCCUUAUGUAGGACAAUGUCUGGUGGGUAGUUUGACUGGGGCGGUCGCCUCCCAAAUAAUAACGGAGGCUUACAAAGGUUGGUUCAUAGCGGUUGGAAAUCGCUAGUAGAGUAUAAAGGUAUAAACCAGCUUAACUGCGAGACAUACAGGUCGAGCAGAGACGAAAGUCGGUCUUAGUGAUCCGGUGGUUCUGUGUGGAAGGGCCAUCGCUCAAAGGAUAAAAGGUACCCCGGGGAUAACAGGCUGAUCUCCCCCAAGAGCUCACAUCGACGGGGAGGUUUGGCACCUCGAUGUCGGCUCAUCGCAUCCUGGGGCUGGAGCAGGUCCCAAGGGUAUGGCUGUUCGCCAUUUAAAGCGGUACGCGAGCUGGGUUCAGAACGUCGUGAGACAGUUCGGUCCCUAUCUGCCGUGGGCGUAAGAAGAUUGAGGAGAGUUGACCCUAGUACGAGAGGACCGGGUCGAACUGACCACUGGUGUAUGGGUUGUUCUGCCAAGAGCAUAGCCCAGUAGCUAAGCCGGGAUGUGAUAAGAGCUGAAAGCAUCUAAGCUCGAAGCCGACUCCAAGAUUAAUCUUCUUUUAAGAGCUCUUAUAGACUAUAAGUUUGAUAGGCCGGGUGUGUAAUUGAUGUAAGUCAUUUAGCUGACCGGUACUAAUAGCUCGUUUGCUUAUCUUA